rnacentral:rRNA from 1 species
UGGUUAUUCAUAACCCUUUGUUGUCCGACUCUGUUGCCUCCGGGGCGACCCUGCCUUCGGGCGGGGGCUCCGGGUGGACACUUCAAACUCUUGCGUAACUUUGCAGUCUGAGUAAACUUAAUUAAUAAAUUAAAACUUUUAACAACGGAUCUCUUGGUUCUGGCAUCGAUGAAGAACGCAGCGAAAUGCGAUAAGUAAUGUGAAUUGCAGAAUUCAGUGAAUCAUCGAAUCUUUGAACGCACAUUGCGCCCCCUGGUAUUCCGGGGGGCAUGCCUGUUCGAGCGUCAUUUCACCACUCAAGCCUCGCUUGGUAUUGGGCAACGCGGUCCGCCGCGUGCCUCAAAUCGUCCGGCUGGGUCUUCUGUCCCCUAAGCGUUGUGGAAACUAUUCGCUAAAGGGUGUUCGGGAGGCUACGCCGUAAAACAACCCCAUUUCUAAGGUUGACCUCGGAUCAGGUAGGGAUACCCGCUGAACUUAAGCAUAUCAAU